GACGAACGCUGGCGGCGUGCUUAACACAUGCAAGUCGAACGGAAAGGCCCUGCUUUUGUGGGGUGCUCGAGUGGCGAACGGGUGAGUAACACGUGAGUAACCUGCCCUUGACUUUGGGAUAACUUCAGGAAACUGGGGCUAAUACCGGAUAGGAGCUCCUGCUGCAUGGUGGGGGUUGGAAAGUUUCGGCGGUUGGGGAUGGACUCGCGGCUUAUCAGCUUGUUGGUGGGGUAGUGGCCUACCAAGGCUUUGACGGGUAGCCGGCCUGAGAGGGUGACCGGCCACAUUGGGACUGAGAUACGGCCCAGACUCCUACGGGAGGCAGCAGUGGGGAAUAUUGCACAAUGGGCGGAAGCCUGAUGCAGCAACGCCGCGUGCGGGAUGACGGCCUUCGGGUUGUAAACCGCUUUCGCCUGUGGCGAAGCGUGAGUGACGGUAAUGGGUAAAGAAGCACCGGCUAACUACGUG
rnacentral:rRNA from 1 species